rnacentral:rRNA from 1 species
GAUGAACGCUAGCUACAGGCUUAACACAUGCAAGUCGAGGGGCAUCACGAUUGAAGUUUACUUUAAUUGGUGGCGACCGGCGCACGGGUGAGUAACACGUAUCCAACCUUCCGUUCACUCGGGGACAGCCUUUCGAGAGAACGAUUAAUACCCGAUUUUAUAUACGAAUCGUAUGAUUUGCCUAUGAAAGGAUUCUGGUGUUUGAUGGGGAUGUGUUUGAUUAGAUUGUUGGUGUGGUAAUGGCUCUCCAAGUCUUCGAUGAAUAGGGGUUCUGAGAGGAAGGUCCCCCACACUGGCACUGAGACACGGACCAGACUCCUACGGGAGGCAGCAGUGAGGAAUAUUGGUCAAUGGACGGAAGUCUGAACCAGCCACGUAGCGUGAAGGAUGACCGCCCUAUGGGUCGUAAACUUCUUUUAUUUGGGACUAAAUUGAAGGACGUGUUCCUUUUUUGCAUGUACCAUUUGAAUCAGCAUCGGCUAACUCCGUGCCAGCCGCCGCCGUAA